rnacentral:rRNA from 1 species
AUUGAACGCUGGCGGCAGGCCUAACACAUGCAAGUCGAGCGGAUGAAGGGAGCUUGCUCCUGGAUUCAGCGGCGGACGGGUGAGUAAUGCCUAGGAAUCUGCCUGGUAGUGGGGGAUAACGUCCGGAAACGGGCGCUAAUACCGCAUACGUCCUGAGGGAGAAAGUGGGGGAUCUUCGGACCUCACGCUAUCAGAUGAGCCUAGGUCGGAUUAGCUAGUUGGUGGGGUAAAGGCCUACCAAGGCGACGAUCCGUAACUGGUCUGAGAGGAUGAUCAGUCACACUGGAACUGAGACACGGUCCAGACUCCUACGGUAGGCAGCAGUGGGGAAUAUUGGACGAUGGGCGAAAGCCUGAUCCAGCCAUGCCGCGUGUGUGAAGAAGGUCUUCGGAUUGUAAAGCACUUUAAGUUGGGAGGAAGGGCAGUAAGUUAAGACCUUGCUGUUUUGACGUUACCAACAGAAUAAGCACCGGCUAACUUCGUG